GACGAACGCUGGCGGCGUGCUUAACACAUGCAAGUCGAACGGUAAGGCUCCAGCUUGCUGGGGUACACGAGUGGCGAACGGGUGAGUAACACGUGGGUGACCUGCCCUGCACUUCGGGAUAAGCCUGGGAAACUGGGUCUAAUACCGGAUAGGACCAUGGUGUGGAUACUGUGGUGGAAAGUUUUUUCGGUGUGGGAUGGGCCCGCGGCCUAUCAGCUUGUUGGUGGGGUAAUGGCCUACCAAGGCGGCGACGGGUAGCCGGCCUGAGAGGGUGGACGGCCACAUUGGGGCUGAGACACGGCCCAGACUCCUACGGGAGGCAGCAGUGGGGAAUAUUGCACAAUGGGCGGAAGCCUGAUGCAGCGACGCCGCGUGGGGGAUGACGGCCUUCGGGUUGUAAACUCCUUUCACCAUCGACGAAGGGUUUCUGACGGUAGAUGGAGAAGAAGCACCGGCUAACUACGUG
rnacentral:rRNA from 1 species